CUGUAGAAAUGGCUCCCUUUCCUUUCCUAAAGAAUCUUCAGAACUCUGCAUGGCUAUUCAAUGGCUCCUCAACGAGAAUAGCUCCCUCUCUGAAAGAACAGCUGUUCCCAUCCUAACAGGGCCCUUUCCAUAGCAAAGCUUGAUGUGCAGGAAGGAGACGCAAUUUUGCCUUGAUCUUUUCAAAUCUUCUAGAAAUCUGGGGGUCUUAGCCACACUUGUGGAGGUCCAGUGGCUAGUGAAGAGGGCAGACACAGAACAAAGCCCCACCUCUGCCAUGGAUUUUUUUGUGGUACUGGGCAAGUCAGUAUUUUUUUAAUCUCAAUUCUUGAACUGAGAAAUAAGAAUCCUGUGACCUGCUUGAUAAGGUUGUUGUAAAGAACCCUACUGUUGUUGUUUUAAGCAUGAUAAAUUGACCAAAGUCCUAUAGGCACAUUAAACAUUCUUUAGUUCACUUCCAGCUGAGGAAUAUUCUUGAGGUUGCCUCUUUUGCUCUGAAGAGCUGGCAGAACUGAAAGAACAUCACUUUCUCCUUCUUGCUUCCAUUGCUUUGUGGGUUUUUGCACAGAGACUGCUUUGUUCCUUGGCCAUACCUGCAAAGGGCUCAGGCACUUCGAAUUUCACUAGGUUGCUUCUCAUGAACAAUGCCCUCCAAAACUCGGAUAAAAGGUUUGGAAUGAAUUAAAGUCCUGUUCCUCAGCACUCCGCUCAAGUACGAUAAGAACCGUUUUUGCACAGGAUAGGUCACUGCAUAGGGCUCUCCUCUAAUUUAGCAGCAAUGGAAGAGGGCAGAAAGCCACCCACAAAGGCUCUGCAUGCCCACCCCAGACCGAUACCUUGCAUAUUUAUGCUAGCUGCACUGUAGACAAGACCUUCCUUUAUUGGGGAGAGCAACAAACACAAUGGUGAUUAUCCCACAUGCCCUUCCUCUGCCACCUUGCCAGCUGUGGUUAAACAGAGAACAAAAGCAGUCAGCAUCUCAUAGCAGCCCAGGACAUGACUGAUCCAGCAGCAAAAUGCUACACACUCCAUGUGGAGCACAGUAAAAAUGGCAACUUUAACAGGCUUUCCCCCCUUUUUCUUUUGUAAAUAAACCAGAGCCCCUGAGCAAUUUUCAUGGCCAGAUAGCUACAUGUCUAUUUAGCUAAGGUUCCACGGUUAAUGCCAAACAUAGGAA